UGGGGAAUAUUCCGCAAUGGACGAAAGUCUGACGGAGCAAUGCCGCGUGAGUGAUGAAGGCCUUUGGGUCGUAAAACUCUGUCUUCGGGGAUGAAACCAUUAUGUGAUAAUACCACAUAAUAUUGACAGUACCCGAGGAGGAAGCCCCGGCUAACUACGUGCCAGCAGCCGCGGUAAUACGUAGGGGGCGAGCGUUGUCCGGAAUCAUUGGGCGUAAAGGGCGUGUAGGCGGUUUUGUAAGUCAGAUGUGAAAACUUGAGGCUCAACUUCAAGCCGGCAUCUGAAACUACAUCACUGGAGGGCAGGAGAGGAAAGUGGAAUUCCAUGUGUAGCGGUGAAAUGCGUAGAUAUAUGGAAGAACACCAGUGGCGAAGGCGACUUUCUGGACUGAACCUGACGCUGAGGCGCGAAAGCCAGGGGAGCGAACG
rnacentral:rRNA from 1 species